rnacentral:lncRNA from 1 species
CCUAAUUUUCUCUAGGUAUUUGACUUCCGGCUGGCAAAGUAGAAUUGGAACGCGAGAGAAGAUAUAUACGGUGAACACAUGUCUCGUCCUACGAAGACGGUAAAAAUAUGAUAAGAAUACAAGAUAUAAAUGACUUACAGUGGUUUAAUCCGCACGAUAAGUGGCGUUUAAUAAAUCUAGGCCCCGCUGGGGCCGAACGUCUUAAGCGCGUGCUAAAGGAAGAAGAAAGAAAAUAGAAGAAAGAGAUAGAGAUAGUUAGAAA